rnacentral:rRNA from 1 species
GAUGAACGCUGGCGGCGUGCCUAAUACAUGCAAGUCGAGCGGCAGCACGGUCUUCGGACUGGUGGCGAGCGGCGGACGGCUGAGUAACGCGUAGGAAUAUACCCCAAAGUGAGGGAUAACUGCCCGAAAGGGUGGCUAAUACCGCAUGUGGUCUUCGGACUAAAGCCUUCGGGCGCUUUGGGAAUAGCCUGCGUAAGAUUAGCUAGUUGGUGAGGUAAUGGCUCACCAAGGCGACGAUCUUUAGCUGGUCUGAGAGGAUGACCAGCCAGACUGGAACUGAGACACGGUCCAGACUCCUACGGGAGGCAGCAAUAGGGAAUUUUCCACAAUGGGCGAAAGCCUGAUGGAGCAACGCCGCGUGCAGGAUGAAGGCCCUCGGGUCGUAAACUGCUUUUAUGUGCGAAGAAUAUGACGGUAACACAUGAAUAAAGGGUCGGCUAACUACGUGCCAGCAGCCGCGGUAAU